rnacentral:tRNA from 1 species
GGCAGCAUAGCAUAGUGGUUAAGGAGCAGGACUUGUAACCAAAAGGUUGCUGGUUCGAUUCCAGCUGGGACA